rnacentral:rRNA from 1 species
AUUCCAGCUCCAAUAGCGUAUAUUAAAGUUGUUGCAGUUAAAAAGCUCGUAGUUGGAUUUUGGAUUGUGUUUAAUGGUCUGCCGUGAGGUAUGCACUGUUAGGCGCUUUCUUCUUGUCAAAGACUGUGUGUGCUCUUAAUUGAGUGUGCUCAGGGUUUGGCACUUUUACUGUGAGAAAAUUAGAGUGUUUAAAGCAGGCGUUUGCUUGAAUAUUGCAGCAUGGAAUAAUGGAAUAGGAUCACGAUCUUAUUUUGUUGGUUUCUAGGAUCGAGAUAAUGAUUAAUAGGGAUAGUUGGGGACAUUAAUAUUUAAUUGUCAGAGGUGAAAUUCUUGGAUUUAUGAAAGAUUAACUUCUGCGAAAGCAUUUGUCAAGGAUGUUUUCAUCA